rnacentral:rRNA from 1 species
GAUGAACGCUAGCUACAGGCUUAACACAUGCAAGUCGAGGGGCAGCAUUAAAGUUUGCUUGCAAACUUUAGAUGGCGACCGGCGCACGGGUGAGUAACACGUAUCCAACCUGCCGAUAACUCGGGGAUAGCCUUUCGAAAGAAAGAUUAAUACCCGAUGGUAUAUUUUCACCGCAUGGUGAAACUAUUAAAGAAUUUCGGUUAUCGAUGGGGAUGCGUUCCAUUAGGCAGUUGGUGAGGUAACGGCUCACCAAACCUUCGAUGGAUAGGGGUUCUGAGAGGAAGGUCCCCCACAUUGGAACUGAGACACGGUCCAAACUCCUACGGGAGGCAGCAGUGAGGAAUAUUGGUCAAUGGGCGCGAGCCUGAACCAGCCAAGUAGCGUGAAGGAUGACGGCCCUAUGGGUUGUAAACUUCUUUUAUAUGGGAAUAAAGUUUGGUAUGUAUACCAUUUUGUAUGUACCAUAUGAAUAAGGAUCGGCUAACUCCGUGCCAGCAGCCGCGGUAAUACGGAGGAUCCGAGC